rnacentral:rRNA from 1 species
GCCGUGGCUUUCUGGCUAAGAUACCGUCAAGACUGGAGCAGUUACUCUCCAAUUUGUUCUUCUCUUACAACAGAGCUUUACGAUCCGAAAACCUUCUUCACUCACGCGGCGUUGCUCCGUCAGGCUUGCGCCCAUUGCGGAAGAUUCCCUACUGCUGCCUCCCGUAGGAGUUUGGGCCGUGUCUCAGUCCCAAUGUGGCCGAUUACCCUCUCAGGUCGGCUAUGCAUCAUUGCCUUGGUAGGCCGUUACCCCACCAACGAGCUAAUGCACCGCAAGGCCAUCGAUAAGUGACAGCAAAGCCGUCUUUCCAAACACYACCAUGAGGUGGUGUUUCCUAUGCGGUAUUAGCACCCGUUUCCGGAUGUUGUCCCCCGCUUAUCGGUAGGUUCCUUACGUGUUACUCACCCGUCCGCCGCUAACGUCAGAAGUGCAAGCACUUCGUCGGUUCGCUCGACUUGCAUGUAUUAGGCACGCCCGCCAGCGUUCGUCCUGAGCCAGG